rnacentral:rRNA from 1 species
GAUGAACGCUGGCGGCGUGCUUAACACAUGCAAGUCGAGCGGGAUAUGGGGGUUUACUCUCAUAUCUAGCGGCGGACGGGUGAGUAACGUGUGGGCAACCUGCCCUAUGCAUGGGGAUAACAUUCGGAAACGGAUGCUAAUACCCAAUAAUCUUUCUGGUCUCGCAUGACCCGGAAAGAAAAGAUUUAUCGGCAUAGGAGGGGCCCGCAUCUGAUUAGCUAGUUGGUGGGGUAACGGCCUACCAAGGCGACGAUCAGUAGCCGACCAGAGAGGGUGAUCGGCCACAUUGGGACUGAGACACGGCCCAAACUCCUACGGGAGGCAGCAGUGGGGAAUAUUGCACAAUGGAGGGAACUCUGAUGCAGCAACGCCGCGUGAAGGAAGAAGUAAUUCGUUAUGUAAACUUCUAUCAACAGGGAAGAAAGAAAUGACGGUACCUGAAUAAGAAGCCCCGGCUAACUACGUGCCAGCAGCCGCAGUAAAAC